GAUGAACGCUGGCGGCGUGCCUAAUACAUGCAAGUCGAGCGAACGGACGAGAAGCUUGCUUCUCUGAUGUUAGCGGCGGACGGGUGAGUAACACGUGGAUAACCUACCUAUAAGACUGGGAUAACUUCGGGAAACCGUAGCUAAUACCGGAUAAUAUUUUGAACCGCAUGGUUCAAAAGUGAAAGACGGUCUUGCUGCCACUUAUAGAUGGAUCCGCGCUGCACUAGCUAGUUGGUAAGGUAACGGCUUACCAAGGCAACGAUGCAUAGCCGACCUGAGAGGGUGAUCGGCCACACUGGAACUGAGACACGGUCCAGACUCCUACGGGAGGCAGCAGUGGGGAAUCUUCCGCAAUGGGCGGAAGCCUGACGGAGCAACGCCGCGUGAGUGAUGAAGGUCUUCGGAUCGUAAAACUCUGUUAUUAGGGAAGAACAUAUGUGUAAGUAACUGUGGACAUCUUGACGGUACCUAAUCAGAAAGCCACGGCUAACUACGUG
rnacentral:rRNA from 1 species